rnacentral:rRNA from 1 species
GGGCCCGCACAAGCGGUGGAGCAUGUGGUUUAAUUCGAUGAUACGCGAGGAACCUUACCAGGGCUUAAAUGUAAGUUGCAUAAGCUAGAGAUAGCUUUUUCUUCGGACUACUUACAAGGUGCUGCAUGGUUGUCGUCAGCUCGUGCCGUGAGGUGUCAGGUUAAGUCCUAUAACGAGCGCAACCCCUGUUGUUAGUUGCCAUCGAGUAAUGUCGGGAACUCUAACAAGACUGCCGGUGCAAACCGCGAGGAAGGUGGGGAUGACGUCAAAUCAUCACGGCCCUUACGUCCUGGGCUACACACGUGCUACAAUGGCCGGUACAGAGAGCAGCCACUACGCGAGUAGGAGCGAAUCUAUAAAACCGGUCUCAGUUCGGAUUGGAGUCUGCAACUCGACUCCAUGAAGGUGGAAUC